UCCCUCUCAGGAUGGCAUCUGGAGAGUUUCCAGUACUCGAGCAGUCUCGAAUAUGGGAGGGAGAGUUGAGAGGCCUACCUAUUCCAUUCCUAGCUUGGACAGUGGCUAGCGAGUGGAAGACGUUCUGAUACAAGU